rnacentral:rRNA from 1 species
UAGGGAAUCUUCCACAAUGGGCGAAAGCCUGAUGGAGCAACGCCGCGUGUGUGAUGAAGGGUUUCGGCUCGUAAAACACUGUUGUAAGAGAAGAAUGACAUUGAGAGUAACUGUUCAAUGGGUAACGGUAUCUUACCAGAAAGGAACGGCUAAAUACGUGCCAG